AUUGAACGCUGGCGGCAGGCCUAACACAUGCAAGUCGAACGAGUGGCGGACGGGUGAGUAAUGUCUGGGAAACUGCAUGAUGGAGGGGGAUAACUACUGGAAACGGUAGCUAAUACCGCAUACCAUCGGAUGUGCCCAGAUGGGAUUAGCUAGUAGGUGGGGUAACGUCUCACCUAGGCGACGAUCCCUAGCUGGUCUGCGAGGAGGACCAGCCACAUGUGAACUGAGACACGGUCCAGACUCCUACGGGAGGCAGCAGUGGGGAAUAUUGCACAAGGGGCGCAAGCCUGAUGCAGCCAUGCCGCGUGUAUGAAGAAGUCCUUCGGGUUGUAAAGUACUUUCAGCGGGGAGGCGUUACCCGCAGAAGAAGCACCGGCUAACUCCGUGCCAGCAGCCGCGGUAAUUC
rnacentral:rRNA from 1 species